AGCUGCAAAGAAGAAAAGGAGCUGCAGCUGAGCGACUUGGAGGACUUGGAUGAGGAAGAACCAGACAUGAAGGUUGAAGAUGAGCUGAAGCACCUUCAUCAGGACGGCCUCCUAAUUGGCAGAGCAUUGACUGAGUCUCUGAAGAACAGCUGUACUGGAAGCUCAGCUGGUCCUUUUCAUGCUUUUUCAUGUGCCAAGCAACAUUCACCGAUUACAGGGGACUUUCUUGGCCACAAGGAGAAUAACAUAGCAGUGAGUCUUGCCACUCAAGGCCAACUCUACGAAACUCCAGAAAAGCCACGCAUCUGGUCCCUAGCUCAUACAGCAGGAGCCAACAUGGUUGUGGGGACCACCAGCCAUCCUGCUCAAAGGACAGAGAGCCCCGAUUGUUUGGUGCUCAAGGGAAGGUGCUCAGGGACUGAUGGACAUUGCAGCGAAACAAGCCACUGGGCAACCUUGUGAGAACACAACCCAUUCAUGACAAGGCCUUGGAAGAGCUGCCACCUCCAGCUAAGAUCUUCAAGAGUCCAACCUUCAACCUACAGUCCAUUGCACUAAACUAUGCUUCAUACCCUGUGCUAGGGGAGACAUGUCAGUACGCAACAGGAACAGAAGGAUUUCGGAGAAGCAUACGGGCUGCUCAAACUUCUCUGGACCUGAGUGAUGUUUGUCUCAGCCAACAUAAAGAGAAACUCAGAACAGCUUUCAGGCCGGUGCUGAAGAGGUGAAAAAAGUUAUGGAAAGCCACCCUGUUACUUGAACUUCUCAAGAAAGUAUGGAAACAUCAAGCUUCCAGGGAAGACACCCAUUAUCUCUAAUGUGAAUCCUCAUUUUGUCUGUUUUCCUCUUUCUCGGAGCUCUUCGGACCAUGAAUGACUGUUACAGCUUCUCAUGUCAGAAGGAAGGGAGGAGAUAACCUUAUGAAACACAACUUUAACCAUCACAAGGCCAACCAGAAAACAUUCAUAGGGAUCGGAUUUUGCUAUGUAAUAUGAGCAUCUCUCCUGUGCUAAGUUUGUCACCAAACUAUGUUAAUUGAACUGUGACUCUCCGGUAAAAUUCUGCCAAUGUAUUUUGGAUUUCGGAGAGACCUUGACUUCUGUUGUAGAUCUGUGUUGUUCUCUGUAUAAUGGAAACUAACAAUGUGGUUAUUGAACCAACCUUUCUUUCUUUCUUUUUUUCCUUUUUCAUAUCCCAAAUAUCUACAGGAUGUGUGGGGGUUAACAUCCUUUCAACAGAUCUUUUAAUACUUAUUUUUCCCCAUUUUUAACUUUAAGUGUGUUUGUGUGUCAUGUUUCUGCAAAGGAGUCCUUUCCUAGUUCAACCUGCACAUUUGUUUAUUAUUGCCUUGUACAAAGAUAUCACAGAAAGUAUUUUUAAAACUCUCGAAUUAAAAUUCCAACAACUGAA